GGCACUCUUGCCACUAGGCUAUAUCCCCAGUCCCUCCUUGGUUAUUUUGGGGGCAAGGUCUUGCUUUAUGUUAGGACUGGCUGGGCUGCAAUCCUCCUUAGGCUUCCCAGUGUGGCUGAAGAUGACAGAUGCAAGCCAUGUACCCCCAGCCAUUGUUUCUCCCAUAGCUGAGAUAGCCGCUGCACAACAGUCACUAAUUGAAAUGGAAUCUCGAGAAAUUUUAUGCCCAGGUGGCCUUGUGUCACAGUUUCCACCUCUGCCUCCUGUGUGUCUAAAUUCUUUCUUUUAUCUGGUGGGGGUAACUAGGGUUUGAUUUCUGGGUUUUGUACAGGCAGGAUCUCUACCAUUUGAGCCACACCUCCAACCCUUGCUUCUUCCUUAAUUAGCUAGUGGCUAAGAAUAUACAGAUCCUUAUGGAAAACCAAAGGUAUCAGUAGUAAGGCAGCUACUGUGUCAGCAGUAUAAAUCUUGUUAGUCACAAGUGAAAAAAGGCCUAAAACUACUGAGAGGUGCCUAUCUUU